rnacentral:lncRNA from 1 species
UGGUAAAUCUGUUCUUUAUCUGUAUCCCCCCCCCCUUUCUUAAAUUAGAGUGGGUCUGGAGCCCUUCACCUGUACUAUCGCUUGCCACUGACUGUCAGGACCCAGAAGCUAAAGAGGGAAGGGGAUUUCUUUUCCCUCGAUGCUUGGAUGAGAGCCCUCCAAGAGGAAACAAGGCAGCGUUGGUGACACAGAUGGUGUCGGUUUCAUCGAAACCCCACGUUGCCGAAGGUUUUACCACAGUGACCUCCUACACAUUGCAAACUGCUGAGCAUCACCCCAGUUCUCGCUGGGAAGAACCUGAAGGGAUGGACAGCGUUCAGCUCUGUUGUCUUUCAGGUAAGCAAAUUUAAACAUGCAACUUUUUCUGACAGUUGCAAUUAUUAUUCUUUUAACGGCACUACAAAAGGGAAAAAAAGAGAUUUAUCACCUAAGAUUAUUUUGAGGGAAGAGAGAGGAGGGUAGGGGAACUCUAGAAUGUUUUAUUUAUGGGAAAACUGCAAAUUACCUUAAUAAAUUCCUUUACUAAGCUGUGUCA